AGGGAUUCGAGAGUUCUGGCUCACCCAACUCUGGCUCACCUAAAUCCGAAACUCCGGGGGCUAAAAAAAAAAAAAAAAAAAAAAAAAAAAAAAAAAAAAAAAAAAAAAAAAAAAGGUUUAGGGGGUCACUUGGAGCGAUUGCACGCAUCCCCAGCUUCGUAUCUGCAACGGAUCCGGAGAUAAACAUCCGCGAAUGUGUGUCCUACUUUAUUUGUUAAUUAUUCCUUCAUUAAUUACCAACAACUAAUGACUCCAUUAUUGUAUGACUCACCACAUUAUAUUCCAAAACCAGUAACAUAACAUCUACCACAUUCCAAGACAAGUUACUAUUAACUAAUAAUAUCUAUUAAAAAUCCAUUGCUAAAUUGACAUUACUGGUAUAAAUACCCAUAUACAUCACUACUUUCUUCACACUUCUUCCUCUGAAUUCGUAUUCAAUACCUAUCAACACAAGACUCAAUAACAUCCAUAACUAUGGAGUUACAGAUUCCUGAAUCCGAAUGUAAUGUUGCAUUCGAUGAAAAUACAUUUAAAAACUACUACUUCCCUUUGUCUGAUGAAGAUGAGAUUCCUCCAUACCAACAAAGUUCAAGUUCAAGCAAGAGAACAAACAAUGAAUCCAUUGACGAAUUCUUCACCACACCAAACAAGAAAGCUAAAACAAAAAAGUCCUCGACAGUGGGACGUCCGAAUCCAAAUAUUGAUUCUAUAUCCUAUGUUUCAUCUAACGCGGAUGAUGGAUCAAAAGCGACGCACUUAAUUAAAGUUGAAAUUUAUGAAUUAAAAAAAAUUGAAAACAUAGAGCCAUCUGAACAAUGGAAACAUGCGGAUGUACGUGUGAAAUAUUUCACAAAACCAACAAACGAUUCCAUACAUAGAAAAACUCGACAAUUAGUUUACGAUAUAACAAAGAGCAUAUCGAAUGCACCGGGGUGCCAAAAAUAUACGGUAAGCAAUAAAAAAUAAAAAUGCUUUGAGAUUCCUCCAUACCAACAAAGUUCAAGCAAGAGAACAAACAAUGAAUCCAUUGACGAAUUCUUCACCACACCAAACAAGAAAGCUAAAACAAAAAAGUCCUCGAUAGUGGGAACGUCCGAAUCUGAAUAUUGAUUCCAUAUCCUAUGUUUCAUCUAACGCGGAUGAUGGAUCGAAAACAACGCACUUAAUUAAAGUUGAAAUUUAUGAAUUUAAAAAAUUGAAAACAUAGACAAAUCAGAGCAAUGGAAACAUGCGGAUGUACGUGUGAAAUAUUUCACAAAACCAACAAACGAUUCAAUACAUAGAAAAACUCGACAAUUAGUUUACGAAAUAACAAAGAGCAUAUCGAAUGCACCGGGGUGCCAAAAAUAUACGGUAAGCAAUAAAAAAUAAAAAUGCUUUGAGAUUCCUCCAUACCAACAAAGUUCAAGUAAGAGAACAAACAAUGAAUUCAUUGACGAAUUCUUCACCACACCAAACAAGAAAGCUAAAACAAAAAUGUCCUCGACAGUGGAACGUCCGAAUCCGAUUAUUGAAUCCAUAUCCUAUGUUUCAUCUAGCGCGGAUGAUGGAUCGAAAGCAACACACUUAAAUAAAGAUGAAAUUUAUGAUUUAAAAAAAUUAAAACAUAUGAGAUAUUAUACAAAACUAACUUUUUAAGUAAUUUUAAGUUUUCUUGUAAAUGUAAUAUAAAAUCGUUUAUUGAAUAAAAAACACUUUUUAAGCA